AUUUAUAAUCAGACAAAGGAUUCUGAUUGUAUGAAGAUGUUAUGUGGUGCUACAAUGUAUGAAGAUGUCAGGGAAGCUAACAAUCUGGAUUACGUCUCCUGAUGGGUAGUAUAUCCAACUGACACUCGUGAACAGACGAUUUCUAGUACUAUUAUAGAUAAACAAGGAAACUUGUUAGAAACAUCAUCACUGUUUCUUUAUUGCCAAACACUGAUUCCUUAAAUUCCCCGUUGACCUGUGCGGCCGGAUGAUUCACUUUGCUAUGUCAGUCGCUAGUACAAGGACAAAUCUAAAUCAGAGUAUAUAGUAUAUACAAAUACAAAUCGGAACAAGCACCCAAAUCAGAGUAUAUACAGUACAUACAAAUACAAAUGACAAAGAAAGGAAGGCAGUAGAUUUGUUCACGAAUUAGUAAACAUCGGCUACAAACAAGAAAGAUGUUGUUUAGACUUCAGAUACCACAACAUCAGACCAUCGCCAUCACUAAUUAGCUCUGCACCACACUUCAAUCACCAUCAACAUUAGACAAUCACCUAUAGUGAAAAAGGUAGUUUAGAAAUUGUCAAUCCUCCUAGAUCCAUCAGACCAUCACCAUCAUAAAAUCACGGCAAUCUCGCUGGGUAGGGUUAGGGUCGAUGAGGGGCUAGAAGAGGACCGCGUUCUUGGUGAGCUCGCUGGGUAGGGUUAGGGUCCAUGUGAAGCUAGGGGUAGGAGACGACGUUCUUGGCGAGCUCGCCGGCGAGGACGAGGCGGACGGAGAUGGGGAGAGGCGGCGAUGACUUACCACCAGGGAGAAAGCCAGUAUGCUGGAGGAGUAACGCCGGUGUCGAGGCAUCGG
rnacentral:lncRNA from 1 species